rnacentral:rRNA from 1 species
GCCUCAGCAUUUGGACUGGCACUUGCUGAUCUUUUGGGGUCUUCAGAAGACAAGCAGAUUUGGACCUUGGUUGUACUUGGAUGGGAGACCACCAAGAAAUUCCUAGUUUGUAGGCU